rnacentral:misc_RNA from 1 species
GAUGAAGAACGUAGCGAAAUGCGAUAAGUAAUGUGAAUUGCAGAAUUCAGUGAAUCAUCGAAUCUUUGAACGCACCUUGCGCUCUUUGGUAUUCCGAAGAGCAUGCCUGUUUGAGUGUCAUGAAAAUAUCAACCUUGACUUGGGUUUUGUGCUCUAGUCUCGGCUUGGAAUUGGGUGCUUGCCGCUUUUACGAGCGGCUCACCUUAAAUGUAUUAGCUGGAUCUGUCUUUGAGACUUGGUUUGACUUGGCGUAAUAAGUAUUUCGCUAAGGACAUUCUUCGGAGUGGCCUCGUUUCUAGGACGCUUGUCCGCUUUCCAAUACCAGUUCCACCUCGUGGACAUGACUUUUUAUUAUCUGGCCUCAAAUCAGGUAGGACUACCCGCUGAACUUAAGCAUAUCAAUAAGCGGAGGA